UACGAACUGUGCGAACGUUAUUCGGAAUCACUGGGCUUAAAGGGUGCGUAGGCGGCGACUCAAGUCAGGUGUGAAAUCCCCCGGCUCAACCGGGGAACAGCGCUUGAAACUGGGUUGCUCGAGUGAGGCAGGGGUGUAUGGAACUUCCGGUGGAGCGGUGAAAUGUGUAGAUAUCGGAAGGAACGCCGGCGGCGAAAGCGGUACACUGGGCCUUGUCUGACGCUGAGGCACGAAAGCUAGGGGAGUGAACGGGAUUAGAUACCCCGGUAAUCCUAGCCGUAAACACUGAGCACUGGAGGGGAGGGGCCUUGCGCCUUUUCCCUCGCAGCGAAAGCGUUAAGUGCUCCGCCUGGGGAGUAUGGUCGCAAGGCUGAA
rnacentral:rRNA from 1 species